rnacentral:rRNA from 1 species
GAAAGUAAUGAAGGGCGUACGGUGGAUGCCUAGGCUCUUACAGGCGAUGAAGGACGUGAUAAGCUGCGAAAAGCCGCGGUGAGGCGCAAAUGGCCCUUGACCCGCGGAUCUCCGAAUGGGACAACCCAAUAUCUUGAAGAGAUAUUAUCCCGCCGAUGCGGGAGGCGAACGCGGGGAACUGAAACAUCUUAGUACCCGCAGGAAAAGAAAAUAAAGAAUGAUUCCCCCAGUAGUGGCGAGCGACCGGGGAAGAGCCCAAACCGACGUUGUCUCGGCAUCGUCGGGGUUGUAGGACCGCGCCAUCGCAAGAAAGGCCGUGAGUGGAAGCGACUGGAAAGCCGCGCCAUAGAGGGUGACAGCCCCUUACACGAAGCAGCCUGAAGCGUAGCGGACUCCUGAGUAGCGCGGGACACGAGUAAUCCUGUGUGAAUCCGCCGGGCCCAUCCGGCAAGGCUAAAUACUCGUAAGAGACCGAUAGUGAACCAGUACCGUGAGGGAAAGGUGAAAAGUACCCCUUGCAGGGGAGUGAAAUAGUUCCUGAAACCGUACGCCUACAAGCGGUCGGAGCAUCUUGAAUGAUGUGACGGCGUGCCUUUUGCAUAAUGAACCUACGAGUUGCCGUCACCAGCGAGGUUAAGUGCGAUGACGCACCGAGCCGCAGCGGAAGCGAGUCUUAAAAGGGCGCGAUAGUUGGUGGAGGCAGACGCGAAACCGAGUGAUCUACACUUGUCCAGGAUGAAGUCCCGGUAACACGGGAUGGAGGUCCGCACCAAUAAGCGUUGAAAAGCUUCUGGAUGAGGUGAGUGUAGGAGUGAAAGGCCAAUCAAACUCGGAGAUAGCUCGUACUCCCCGAAAGGCAUUUAGGUGCCGCCUGUGGCGUUCCCGACGUGAGGUAGAGCGACUGAUAGGAUGCGAGGGCUUCACCGCCUAUCAAGUCCUGACAAACUCCGAAUGCACGUCGGCCAAGCCAUGGAGUAAGGGCAUGGGUGCUAAGGUCCGUGCCCGAGAGGAGAAGAAUCCAGACCACCGGCUAAGGUCCCGAAAUACUGGUUAAGUUAGACUAACGCAGUCCGGCCCCCAAGACAGCUAGGAUGUUGGCUUGGAAGCAGCCAUUCAUUCAAAGAGUGCGUAACAGCUCACUAGUCGAGGAGCUGGGCGUGGAUAAUAAUCGGGUAUAAAACCAGUUACCGAAGCCGUGGGAUGCUUAAGCAUCGGUAGGGGAGCAUUGCAUGCGGCUUAGAAGGCGGGGCGCGAGCCCCUCUGGAGCGCAUGGAAACGCAAAUGUAGGUAUAAGUAACGACAAGGGGGGUGGGAUGCCCCCCCGCCGAAAGACCAAGGUUUCCUGAACAACGCUAAUCGGUUCAGGGUCAGUCGGGUCCUAAGCAUAAGCCGUAUGGCGAGGGCGAUGGAUGAAACGGUUAAUAUUCCGUUACUGUCUUGGUGUGUGACGCGGCGACGGAGUAGUGACACGGCCGCCUCCUGACGGAAAAGGGGGUUGAAGCGCAAAGGUGUCGAGGAAGGCAGGCAAAUCCACCUUCCGAGCCGAAGCGCGAUAGUACGCCGCGCCCUUUUGGGCAAGGCGAUAGUGCCGGUAAUCAGACUUCCAAGAAAACCCGCUAAACUUCAGCACCAAGUCACCCGUACUCUAAACGGACACACGUGGUCGGGUAGAAUAUACUAAGGCGCUUGGGAGAUUCACGGUUAAGGAACUAGGCAAAUUGACCCCGUACCUUCGGAAUAAGGGGUCCUCGCUUUUGCGAGGCGCAGAGAAUAGGUCCAGGCAACUGUUUAACAAAAACACAGGGCUGUGCAAAUUUGAAAGAAGAAGUAUACAGCCUGACACCUGCCCGGUGCCGGAAGGUUAAGAGGAGAGCUCAUCAGCGAUGAGAAGGUUUGAAUUGAAGCCCCGGUAAACGGCGGCCGUAACUAUAACGGUCCUAAGGUAGCGAAAUUCCUUGUCGGGUAAGUUCCGACCUGCACGAAUGG